rnacentral:rRNA from 1 species
AUUGAACGCUGGCGGCAGGCUUAACACAUGCAAGUCGAACGAGUGGCGGACGGGUGAGUAAUGCUUGGGAAUCUAGCUUAUGGAGGGGGCUAACUACGGGAAACUGUAGCUUAUACCGCCUACCAUAGGUUGAGCCCAUGUGGGAUUAGGUAGUUGGUGUGGUAACGGCUCACCAAGCCGACGAUAGCUAGCUGGUCUGAGAGGAUGACGAGCCACACUGGGACUGAGACACGGCCCAGACUCCUACGGGAGGCAGCAGUGGGGAAUAUUGCGCAAUGGGGGCAACCUGACGCAGCCAUGCCGCGUGAAUGAAGAAGGCCUUCGGGUUGUAAAGUUCUUUCGGUAGCGAGGCGUUAACUACAGAAGAAGCAACGGCUAACUCCGUGCCAGCAGCCGCGGUAAUUC